CUCACCAUCUCAGAGUAGGGCCUGAUGUUGAAGGGGAAGACUGAGGCAGCCAGGACACACAGGAACUCUGGGCUGUGCCACAUUGGGGCCAGGUCUGGGACGUUGUGAUACAGGUACCUGAAGAACUGCAUCAGAGUCACCGGGUACUCCCUCAGCCACGACCCCUCUUCCUCAGACUGCCACGGCUAAGAGGACGAAGAAAAGCACAACGUCAUUUGAUGGUAGAAGAAGAUCGAGGAGCUAUAUGACAUUUGGUGACAGCAAGCUAGGUUGAACAUGCUCCUCAUCUCCUCUAUCCUUCCCUCGCUCUUCCUCUCCUCCCUCCACUCCUCCUCUCCUCUAUCCUUCCCUCGCUCCUCCUCUCACCAGGUUGAGCAUGCUCCUCAGCAUCCCCAGUAACAGG